AAUUGUAUUUUGCAUGUCUGAAAUGAAAGCUCAGAGAAUGGGGGAAUAUUUCUUACAAACACGGACUCUGUCAUUGCCCUCAAGGUGCAUUCUUGGCUGGAUCCCUGUGUAUUUCCUCUUUGCUUUGUUGAUGUGCCGGGUCGCUGUACUGAUGCUGCACACCUGAGCCCAACUUCCUGCAUCUGUGCCCAGGUGGACGGUGCCGGCAGAGCAGCCAACUCGAAGCAGAGAUGAAGUGCAGCUGCGGGUGCUGGUGUGAGCCCCAGUGAGAGCUGGAACUGACGGUGUGUGACCAACUGCAGCAGCCAGGGAACAAUGGCUCCGAGGAGAGAGAGUCACAACGUCCAGCGGUGAGUGUCCUUUGGUUUCCUCAGGGAACACGGGAGGCCAAGGACACUUAGCUUUGCCAGAUUCCUGGAACUCCAGCCCAGCCGGCCAUCCGAGUCCUCCGUCCGCUCACCGAGCUGUGCUGGAAACUAACCUGUCACGGUGGAACUGAGCCCGAGGGAGGUGCCACAAAGUGAAACUGGCUUCUGGAUCUGCUGGGUGAGAGUGAAAGUAAAGGUCACUUUUUGGUCCCCUGAGACCAAGACGCGACGGCAGCUCAUCCCUCAGCCCUGCAUCCUUCCUUCCGAGCCCCGGAUCACGCAGACCUUACAGAGUCUUCAUACGGAGUGGUGAACACCACCAGUUUCUCAUCUUUGUUCAUGAGCUGUCCGCACGGAAUCUAAAAGAAAAAAAAAAUGAAGGACGUGAGGCUCAGACGUGUCUCAAAUGAAGUUUACUAUCCCAGCCAGAUGCGAGAAGACAGACCACAAGCUUACCUUCUGCCGGGUCCUAAUCAAAGUGACAAAGGAGACAAUUGGACAAAAGAUACUCUGCAAUCAAAGGGCUUCUCUUUCAAGUGGAAGCAAAUAAAUAAAAUAAAGCCCACCCUGAGGACACAGGCCUUGUCAAUAUCAUUGCCUCAUUUCUUUCAGAGGAAAUAAACAACAGAAGGCCAGGAUUGAGAAAACAUUUGGAGUCUCGCUUUGUUGCCUGGGCUAGAGUGCCGUGGUGUCA